rnacentral:rRNA from 1 species
GACGGAGGGGGCUAGCGUUGUUCGGAAUUACUGGGCGUAAAGCGCGCGUAGGCGGACCUGCAAGUCGGGGGUGAAAGCCCGAGGCUCAACCUCGGAACUGCCUUCGAUACUGCGGGUCUCGAGUCCGAGAGAGGUGAGUGGAAUUCCUAGUGUAGAGGUGAAAGUCGUAGAUAUUAGGAAGAACACCAGUGGCGAAGGCGGCUCACUGGCUCGGUACUGACGCUGAGGCGCGAAAGCGUGGGGAGCAAACAGG